rnacentral:rRNA from 1 species
AACGAACGCUGGCGGCAGGCCUAACACGUGCAAGUCGAGCGGACCCUUCGGGGUUAGCGGCGGACGGGUGAGUAACGCGUGGGAACGUGCCCUUUGCUUCGGAAUAGCCCUGGGAAACUGGGAGUAAUACCGGAUACGCCCUUUUGGGGAAAGAUUUAUCGGCGAAGGAUCGGCCCGCGUUGGAUUAGGUAGUUGGUGGGGUAAUGGCCUACCAAGCCGACGAUCCAUAGCUGGUUUGAGAGGAUGAUCAGCCACACUGGGACUGAGACACGGCCCAGACUCCUACGGGAGGCAGCAGUGGGGAAUCUUAGACAAUGGGGGAAACCCUGAUCUAGCCAUGCCGCGUGAGCGAUGAAGGCCUUAGGGUUGUAAAGCUCUUUCACCGGGGAAGAUAAUGACGGUACCCGGAGAAGAAGCCCCGGCUAACUCCGUG